GGAGUCUAGCAUGUGCGCGAGUCAUUGGGACUUGCGAAACCUAAAGGCGAAGUGAAAGCGAAAGAGCGCCUCGCGCGCUCCCAGGGAGGAUGGACCGGCUUCGGCCGGCCCCGCACUCCCGGGGCGUCUCGUUCUCACUGCGAGAUGAGGCGCACCCAUAGCGUACACGCUGGGACCCGAAAGAUGGUGAACUAUGCCUGGUCAGGACGAAGUCAGGGGAAACCCUGAUGGAGGUCCGUAGCGAUUCUGACGUGCAAAUCGAUCGUCGGAACUGGGUAUAGGGGCGAAAGACUAAUCGAACCAUCUAGUAGCUGGUUCCCUCCGAAGUUUCCCUCAGGAUAGCUGGCGCUCGCGUAGCGAGUCUCAUCCGGUAAAGCGAAUGAUUAGAGGCAUUGGGGUCGAAACGGCCUCAACCUAUUCUCAAACUUUAAAUGGGCGAGAUCUCCGGCUUGCUUAGACGGUGAAGCCGCGAGAAAACCUUUUAAGGAUCAGAGUGCCAAGUGGGCCAUUUUUGGUAAGCAGAACUGGCGCUGUGGGAUGAACCAAACGUAGAGUUAAAGCGCCAAAAUCGACGCUUAUGGGAUACCAUGAAAGGCGUUGGUAACUUAAGACAGCAGGACGGUGGCCAU
rnacentral:rRNA from 1 species